UACGUAGGGGGCUAGCGUUGUCCGGAUUUAUUGGGCGUAAAGAGCUCGUAGGUGGUUCGGUAAGUCGGAUGUGAAAUCUCCAGGCUCAACCUGGAGGGGUCAUUCGAUACUGCCGUGACUAGAGUUCGGUAGAGGGAUGCGGAAUUCCUGGUGUAGCGGUGAAAUGCGCAGAUAUCAGGAAGAACACCAGUGGCGAAGGCGGCUCACUGGUCCGGUACUGACGCUGAGGUGCGAAAGCGUGGGGAGCAAACAGG
rnacentral:rRNA from 1 species